CCCUUAGAUGUUCGGGGCCGCACGCGCGCUACACUGAAGGAAUCAGCGUGCUCUUGUCCUGGUCUGGAAAGACUGGGUAACCCGUUGAACCUCCUUCGUGCUAGGGAUUGGGGCUUGCAAUUAUUCCCCAUGAACGAGGAAUUCCCAGUAAGCGCAAGUCAUCAGCUUGUGUUGAUUACGUCCCUGCCCUUUGUACACACCGCCCGUCGCUCCUACCGAUUGAAUGAUCCGAUGAAUACCAUGGAUUGAGAGUACGAAUAGGUUCGCUUAUUUCUGCUUCUCGAGAAGUGGAGUAAAUCUUAUCAUUUAGAGGAAGGAGAAGUCGUAACA
rnacentral:rRNA from 1 species